rnacentral:rRNA from 1 species
AUUGAACGCUGGCGGCGUGCUUUACACAUGCAAGUCGGACGAGUGGCGAAGGGGUGAGUAACGCAUCGGAACGUACCGAGUAAUGGGGGAUAACUGUCAGAAAGGACAGCUAAUACCGUAUAUUAUGCGAGCGGCCGAGGUCUGAUAAGCUGGGUGGCGGGGUAAAGGCCCACCAGGGCGACGACCAGUAGCGGGUCUGAGAGGAUGAUGCGCCACACUGGGACUGAGACACGGCCCAGACUCCUACGGUGGUCAGCAGUGGGGAAUUUUGGACAAUGGGCGCAAGCCUGAUCCAGCCAUGCCGCGUGUCUGAAGAAGGCCUUCGGGUUGUAAAGGACUUUUGUCAGGGAAGCGGUACCUGAAGAAUAAGCACCGGCUAACUACGUGCCAGCAGCCGCGGUAAUUC